AUUGAACGCUGGCGGCAUGCUUUACACAUGCAAGUCGAACGGUAACAGGCCGCAAGGUGCUGACGAGUGGCGAACGGGUGAGUAAUGCAUCGGAACGUGCCCAGACGUGGGGGAUAACGCAGCGAAAGCUGUGCUAAUACCGCAUACGAUCUGUGGAUGAAAGCGGGGGACCGAAAGGCCUCGCGCGAUUGGAGCGGCCGAUGUCAGAUUAGGUAGUGGAGGGGGUAAAGGCUCACCAAGCAAACGAUAUGUAGCUGGUCUGAGAGGACGACCAGGCACAGUGCGACGGAGACAGGGCGCAGACUGGUACAGGAGGAAGCAGUGGGGAAUGUUGGACAAUGGGAGCAAGCCUGAUCCAGCAAUGCCGCGUGCAGGAAGAGGGCCUUCGGGUUGUAAACUGCUUUUGUACGGAGCGAAAAGGCUCUCUCUAAUACAGGGGGCUCAUGACGGUACCGUAAGAAUAAGCACCGGCUAACUACGUGCCAGCCGCCGCAGUAACAC
rnacentral:rRNA from 1 species